rfam:Medicago truncatula strain A17 chromosome 2, whole genome shotgun sequence.
ACUAAUUAUCGGCCUUAUGAUUAAAAUCAAAUGUUGUAUCUAUUCUUAUCUGUUUAAUAUAUGAUAUGUAGACUUUUAGCUCAGGUGAUAAUAAAUUAGUUUGUUAAGGGGGAGAGUCCAUCACAUUGGCUUCCUCUUGGGACUCUGAGGCAUCGCCCAUGUGUUGAACUACACCAUAGACUUGGAGCACCCCCA